ensembl:lncRNA LINC02696 long intergenic non-protein coding RNA 2696
AUUUCCCCCUCUGUUGCCCUAGCGCCCCUUGGAAGCCAAGAAUAUGAGGAAGUCUUCUUCCUUCGCGCCUUCUUCUUCCUUACGCUCCAGGGCAGCCUGACAGAGCCGCUCGAAGGCUCUGCUGGCCGCGGCUAGCCGGAAACUGAAAUAUGAAUCUAUGUUGAUGAGAGAAUAAAGGAAUUGAAAGAGGCAUAAAUCUUAUCUUCUCGCAACCCUAGAAGAUCAGCUUCUUGUGAAGAAGGGGAUUAUACUUCUGUAAUUAACUGCUUUGCAGCUCCUGGUGAUGGCUCAGAGCUGAAUAAUAGCACCCAGCCAAGUUGGAUAAAAGGCUGUUGGAUGGGCAGGUGCGGCCGCUCAUCGUGAACAAUGGUCUCAGGGCUUGACAUCUUUUUCCAGUGCCCCGUGCUCAGAGAGUCCAACCAGGGGAUAUUUGUUCCCUGUCUAUCAACAUUCACAGCAGAGAAUAAAAUUCCAGAACAAAUAGCUCAAAGAGACCUGUUUCACUGGAGGCCAGUAGCUGCAAUGAGCUGCCUUGAAGGACCAACCCAGAUUCUACACCUCUUUGUGUUCCGACCAGUGCCCGGGACCUGUUAGGGGCUUAUGGAACGCUGGUUGGCAGUGACUGCUUCUCAGCCGCUGUGCUGUCUCAGGAAAGUUGCGUGAGUUCUCUGAUCUUCAGAGUUAACCGUCCACACAAUGCAAGGGGUUCUUAUGGAAUUCUUAUGAGGAAGAAAUCAGAUCAUGAGUGUAAACAAAUUACUUAGUACAGUGCCUGGCACAGGGCAGGUGAUCAAUAAAUGGUAGCUAUUAUUAUUAAAUUGUGAAAUAAAAAUGGAUCGCGGACACAUA